rnacentral:rRNA from 1 species
GACGAACGCUGGCGGCGUGCUUAACACAUGCAAGUCGAACGGAAAGGCCCUGCUUUUGUGGGGUGCUCGAGUGGCGAACGGGUGAGUAACACGUGAGUAACCUGCCCUUGACUUUGGGAUAACUUCAGGAAACUGGGGCUAAUACCGGAUAGGAGCUCCUGCUGCAUGGUGGGGGUUGGAAAGUUUCGGCGGUUGGGGAUGGACUCGCGGCUUAUCAGCUUGUUGGUGGGGUAGUGGCUUACCAAGGCUUUGACGGGUAGCCGGCCUGGGAGGGUGACCGGCGACAUUGGGACUGAGGUACGGCCCAGACGCCAACGGGAGGCAGCAGUGGGGAAUAUUGCACAGUGGGCGGAAGCCUGAUGCAGCAGCGCCGCGUGCGGGAUGACGGCCUUCGGGUUGUAAACCGCUUUCGCCUGUGACGAAGCGUGAGUGACGGUAAUGGGUAAAGAAGCACCGGCUAACUACGUG